AGCGUGCACACAUUGUGUGCCGCCAAAGGGUCCUUGAGCUCUCUUAGGCAAAACGGAUGCGCGCGACAAGACAAGGUCUUUUUACAACCACCGAUGUCGCGACGUCCGUCGCCGGAGACUCGCUUUUGCGCCAGCCGCGCGACGAGGCACGGGAGGCCAGUUUCCGCCCCCAAACCGGAGCUCCUAGAGGAGUGAGUGGUCGGGGGCAACACGAUGCGUGACACCCAGGCAGACGUGCCCUCAGCCAUAGGCUUCGGGCGCAACUUGCGUUCAAAGACUCGAUGGUUCACGGGAUUCUGCAAUUCACACCAAGUAUCGCAUUUCGCUACGUUCUUCAUCGAUGCGAGAGCCGGGAUAUCCGUUGUCGAGAGUCGUUUGUGUUUCGGAAUGACACCACUGCCCGCUAACGGGAAGGGGACGUCAAUUCGGUUUUAUUUUCCUUGGCGCAUUCCGCGCCCGGAUGAUUUCAUUGGCCGGUGGCCACUGGAGAGGGGCCACCUACCAGGGGUUCGCACACGAGGAACCGAAUCCCCGUGAGCUUGCCCGAUGUGUUUACGAGUUAGCGGGUCGUGCUGCUAUCGCAGGC
rnacentral:misc_RNA from 1 species